UACAUGUGGGGCAAGCGUUGUUCGGAAUUACUGGGCAUAAAGGGUGCGUAGGCGGCUUGUUAAGUCACUGGUGAAAGUUUUCGGCCCAACCGGAAAAUGGCCUGUGAUACUGGGGAGCUUGAGUGCGUGAGGGGUGGGGGGAACGAGCAGUGUAGCGGUGAAAUGCGUAGAUAUUGCUCGGAAGGCCGGAGCCGAAGGGGCCCCACUGGUACGCAACUGACGCUGAGGCACGAAAGCGUGGGGAGCAAACAGG
rnacentral:rRNA from 1 species